UACGUAGGGUGCGAGCGUUAAUCGGAAUUACUGGGCGUAAAGCGUGCGCAGGCGGUUUUGUAAGCCAGAUAUGAAAUCCCCGGGCUUAACCUGGGAAUGGCAUUUGGGACUGCAAGGCUUGAGUGCGGCAGAGGAGACUGGAAUUCCUGGUGUAGCAGUGAAAUGCGUAGAUAUCAGGAGGAAUACCGAUGGCGAAGGCAGGUCUCUGGGCUGACACUGACGCUCAUGCACGAAAGCGUGGGGAGCAAACAGG
rnacentral:rRNA from 1 species